CGCCUGACGUUUUUUUAUCGACGUCACGAAGCUCUCUGCACAAAACGCUUCUGUCUUUUCUCUGAAACAAAAAGGACUGAUAAUAAAAAUAAUGACAUUUCCAGGCUCCCAUUGUUUUCACAAAGAACUGUCUUCCUUUUUUACAUUUUAAAAAUGUAUGAAAAGAAACUAAAAAUAUUUUUUGCAUCUUACUGAAGAUUUCAAACUUGCAAAAAUAACUAUUUGCUUUGUAUUUUUUAUUUAUUUUUUGUUACUGUUUUCAUGUAAACUGCACAUUCUGCUGCUAGGUCAUUUGCAGGUUUGAUUGUCAGUAAAUGUAAAUAAACUGACUCUCAGUAAAGGCUGUAAAUAAAUCUGACCAUCCCAUUCCAAAACCAAGAGCGUUAAUAUGGAAAUAUGGAGUUGGCCCCAUUGUGGCUACAACAACCUCUCUUAGACGGCUUUCCACAAGAUUUUGGAAUGUGUCUGCGUGACUUUGAAUCCGUUCCAUCAAAAGAGCGCUUGUGAGGCACUGUUUUAUCAGAAGGCCUGGCUCACAAUUGUCAUUCAAAUAUAUCCCAAAGGUGUUCAGUGGGAUUGAGGUCAGGGCACCCUGCAGGUCACUGAAGUUCCUCCACACCAAAUUCAUCAAACUAUGUCUUAAUGCAUAUGACUUUGUGCACAAGGGCACAGUCAUGCUGGAACAGGAAAGGGCCAUCGCCAAACAGCUGCCAGAAAGUUGGAUACAUGUAAUUGUCUAAAAUGUCUUUGUAUGCUGUAUUAACGCUGCCCUUCACUGGAACUAAAUGGGUGAACCCAAACCCAGAAAAACAGCUACAGACCAUUAUACCUCCUCCACCAAACUUUACUGUUGACACUAUGCAUUACUAUUCCGUACUAUCCUUCUGAGACCCUGCCUAUUCAUUUGUGUCCUUUGUGGUGGACACUUUGUUUCUGCAUCUAUCAUUUUAUUCGUUAGAGUUACCCUAAUAAGUCCUGCUGUAUCUUAAAGAGGACAUCCUGGGCUUUCCAGUGAUAUCACAUGUGUUUAAACAAAAUGGCCUCCAUAUCAACAAGCACAUUUUAUGGAAUCAGGAAAGAUUCACACCUGUGCUACCUAGGCCUCCUGAUUAUCAAGAUGACCCUACAGUUCAUGCAGAUUGGAGUCCAAUUCAGUACUUUUCCCAAUACAUUGAUAGUAAGGUUUUUGAAGACUUGGCAACAUUCACCAAUCAAAGGGAGCUGCAGACUACAGGAGUUUCUCUGAACACCAGUCCACAGGAAGUGAAGAUCUUCUUUGGCAUAUCAAUCAGGCAGUUUGUUCCAGGCAAGCCACACCCGACUGGCUUGAAGGUAUUUGUCCUUGCCUCUCCAGAUGGUCUGAUGCUGGACUUUGAAGUAUACAAAGGAAAGAAUACGUUUAAUGACAAAAUAUUGGGUACUGGGGCAGCAGCAGUCCUACGUAUGGUUGAAUCUGUUCCCACAGGAUGUCAGUUGUUCUUUGACCGGUACUUUACAUCAGUCAGUCUCAUGGAUGCUUUGCUGGAAAAAGGCUUUCCUGGCAACUGGAACCAUAAUGAAGAACAGAGUGCUGAAGCCAUGUCUGCUUACUGGUGACAAACAGUUGCAACAAGAAGGGAGAGGAGCAUCAAUGAUGGUGGUCAGAAAUAGUCCUGAGCUGGCUAUCACAAAGUGUUAUGACAACAAGCCAGUGCUAAUGGCCUCUACCAUACUUGGGAAAAAUCCUGAAGAUGUCUGUAGAAGAUGGUCCAACAAAGACAAAGCACACAUCCAAGUGAGAAGACCUGCAGUUAUCAGAGAGUACAAUGACAACAUGGGUGGGGUGGAUUUAUGUGACCGAAUGUUGAGCUUUUACAGAAUGUCAAGCAGGACCAAAAAAUGGACUACAUGAGUGAUAGGUCACUUUUUUGAUGUUGCCAUCACAAACUCCUGGAUCCAGUCCAAGUCUGAUAGCAAAGUCCUGAAUCGACCUGCAAAGGAAACUAAACAGUACUUGGACUUCAAAUUGCACCUGGCUGAAGAGCUGUUGGAUCUUCCAGAACUUGACAACAGUGCAAGUGAAGAGAGUGAAGAAGAGUAUGAGCCACAGAUGAGUCAUCUGUGCGUAAAUAUGGAGCCAUGCACAUGCCAGAGCUGCUACUUGCUAGGCGGGAAUCCUGUAUGCUUUGCUGUGGUGACCAGGGCUUGGGAGCCUCUGUGCCAACCCUUCGGGGUUAAAGGUUGGUGAAUUAGCUGUUAUACAUUAAUUCCAAUAUUUCAGACCAUUUCUUGUUAAAUCUGUGUUAGAACAAUCGGCAGAGCUGUUUUAUUGCAAAAGAGGAAUAUUUUAUUUUUGCCUGAAAAUCUAAUUCUGCUGUGGAUUUGCAACAGAGCAUAAGAGCCAUAU